GUCAACAACCACUAUCCUAAAGGGAUAGUGGCUUGUAGGAAACUAUAAGCUAAUGUUGACAAGACUAAGCAUUAACUUGCUAUGUUAUAUAAGCCAUCAUACCCGUUGACGUUUGUCUAAUCUACGGCUCUAUG
rnacentral:sRNA from 15 species